rnacentral:rRNA from 1 species
UACAGAGGUCUCAAGCGUUGUUCGGAUUCAUUGGGCGUAAAGGGUGCGUAGGUGGCGCCGUAAGUCGGGUGUGAAAUUUCGGAGCUUAACUCCGAAACUGCAUUCGAUACUGGGAAGCUUGAGUCCGGGAGAGGUGAGUGGAACUCCGAGUGUAGAGGUGAAAUUCGUAGAUAUCGGGAGGAACACCAGUGGCGAAGGCGGCGAUCUGGGAAGAUACUGACGCUGAGGUGCGAAAGCGUGGGGAGCAAACAGG